UCAAACUUGGUCAUUUAGAGGAAGUAAAAGUCGUAACAAGGUUUCCGUAGGUGAACCUGCGGAAGGAUCAUUAACGAAUGUUAUUAUCAUCAUUUUGUGAAUCAUGACCACUUUUAGUGGUUUUUGCUUCGGCGCUGGAUUUAACUAUCUAGCGCCGGUAGAAAACUUUUUAAAACUUUGUCUAAACUUAAAGAUUUAAAUAAUUAAAACUUUCAACAACGGAUCUCUAGGUUCUCGCAUCGAUGAAGAACGCAGC
rnacentral:misc_RNA from 1 species